CUGAAACAAGGGAACUAGCAACAUGGCUCGUUUUAUACUGUGUUUGGUAGCUGUGGUACUUGUGGUCAAUUUCUUUAGUGUUGAUGCAUCUCGACCUGGAAGUCCCCUUGCAUUUCAUGACCUUGGUAUAG